UGGAAACUUUGGAAACACUUAAGAAAAAGUUGAAUUUCAAGUGCAUUUUUAAGCCGAAUAAAUAUUUUUUUUUUCAAUUUCUUUUCAUCAUGAGAUUCUUUGUGAAAUAUUCUAAAAGAAUUUUAAUAGUUUUUAUUAAAAUUUCGACCAAUUGGAAAAUUCAAUUAAUUUAAAAAACACAUUUUGUAAAGACGGUUUUACAUAACCAAUACAGUAGAGUCUCGCUAUAGUCCAUAUUUGGUUCCAGAUUUGACACUUGGGUCGCACUAUAGUCCAUGUCUUUUUUUAAAAUUAUCAACGACUUUUAGUAUUGAAAUUGCUCGACGGCUUCCACUUUCCUUGCGAUUGUGGUAUUUGUUCUCACUCUCUUCAUUAUGGAUCACAAUUAUCACAACUACUCAAUUAAGUUUGCCAAAAAUAUUAAAAUAAUUAUGACAAAAUUUCAUGUCGCGUACUAAAAAAACAUAACUUAAUUAAAAUCAGUGUUUUGAAAUCAACGGUCGAUAAAUUGUGGACUAUAGAGCGAUGGCCUAUAGCGAGACUACUGUAUCCUAAUUCUUUUUGAAACAUAAAAACCUUAGACACACCUUAUCAUUUUUUUUCACAAAUAAUGCGCGAAGAAAAACCUUAAUUUUCUGGCUAAAAUUACCCCAGUCUUAUUUAAAAUUGAGAGUGCUUUUGCAACUUAAGCGACUUCACUUUUAAUCAUGGAACUUUGCUUUAUAAGAAUCGUAAAAGAAUUGUAAUAGUAUGGCACUGUAAUUUUAAAAAUUUUCACGUAACUCCAAACGCAAACAUAAAUUUUCCUAAUAAUAUGCUAAUAUUACUUAAAAUAAAAUAGUAAUUUUAAGACUUAUGACUACAUUGCUUGUAAUAUUACACAACUUUUCCCAAACCUAACUUUUAUAUUUACAAAUUUUAUUCUUUUUUAGACAAGGACAAUGCAUUGUCUACCCACGGGCCACUGAUCCAUACAAGAUGCUUUGGGAGGCGCUUUCAGUGGUUAUUACGUCGCGUCAUGCAACUAAUUAAAAAAAUUACUGUGAUAAAACAAAGCAAAUAAAAAAAUAUAUUCUAAAUUUUAUUUAAUUUUGUUUUAUUUAUGAUUUAUAGAAAAGAAAUAAACCAAAAGAAAAUUCAACCAAAAAAAAAAAAAAUUCAGCUAAGAAAAAUCAACUAAAUUGAUUCAACUAAGCAAAAUUAAACAGAAAAAAAAUUCAGUCCACUAAAUUCAACUUUAGAAAUUUUAAACUAAAAAUUUUCAACUUAGAAAAAAUUCAACGGGUUGAAUUCAACUAGAAAAAUUCAGCGAAAAUUACUACGAAAAUCGAUGCUCUCCCAUUACACGCGAUAAUCGUAGUAAUUAUUUUUUACUGUGUACACAGUAAAAACAAGAUGAAUUUUUCUAGUUGAAUUCCUUAUAACACAUCUUGUCUGGAAAGUCUGGAAUGUAGAAAAAAUCUACAGAAAAUCGGCAGAAUAUCUACAGAAAUUCGUCAGAGAUUCGUCAGAAAAUCUGCCGAAAUAUUCUGACGAAUUUUUUCCCAAGCCCAAAUAAAAUUCGUAAGAAUAUCUACAGAAUUUAUCUGCAGAUAUUCUGUAGAGGUGUAGAUUUUCUCUACAGAAAUCUUAAAGAUAUCUGCAGAUAUUAUUUGACGGGUUGGGUCCUUUAAUCCUUUUUCUUCUUUUUUUUUAAGAACCGCGAAACAUUUGAAUUAUCUGUCUCUCUCACUCAUUCUCUUGUCAUUUCAUCUGUCAUUCAUGCGAUUGUGGUUAUUUUGCCUGGGAUUGAGAGGGAAAAGUUAUUGUGACACCAAUUUAUGGGCAAUACUGAUAUUUAUCUUGUUUGUAGUUUUGGGGGCUUUUUGGUGCAUCGAACAGGUGGACAAAAUGACAAUUGCUGUCAAAUUUUAAUGACAAACAGA